rnacentral:lncRNA from 1 species
GAUUGGCAUGGUGAAAAAGUUGAAAAAUAAAAGGGACCAAUCGAUUGAUGUUAGAGAUACAAUCGAUUGUUUGGUAAAAAAUUUAUAAAAAUUAAAAAAAAUAAGAAACCAAUCGAUUGAUAUAAAGAUGUAAUCGAUUGAAUAAACUUACUUUAAAACAAAAUUUGAGAAAUUAAGAGGGACCAAUCGAUUGACACCUUACCAUCAAUCGAUUUGACACCAAACAAAUUUUGAAAAAUACUUAAAAAU